rnacentral:misc_RNA from 2 species
AACGCAUCUUGCGCUCCUUGGUAUUCCGAGGAGCAUGCCUGUUUGAGUGUCAUUAAAUUCUCAACUCUCUUAUACUUUGUUGUAAAGGAGGGCUUGGAUUGUGGAGGUUUGCUGGCCACUUGUUGGGGUCAGCUCCUCUGAAAUGCAUUAGCGGAACCGUUUGCGAUCUGCCACAAGUGUGAUAAGUUAUCUACACUGGCGAGGGGAUUGCUCUCUGUUGUUCAGCUUCUAAUCGUCUCAACGAGACAAUUUCUUGAAUGCUUGACCUCAAAUCAGGUAGGACUACCCGCUGAACUUAA